CAACAACAGAUAGUAGAAGCAACGGGGUAAAAGAAAGUGCAUGGAAGACAAUAACCACUAAAUCCAGUGCAGACGAACGCACACGAAAUUGUACAACUAAACAAAAAGAUGCUGGAAAAACCUCAAAACAAGGGCCAAAAAACAAAAAAGCAUUGUGAGGCAGGAAACGUUCCGCACCGGGGGUGGCUCUUCUGUACAUAGUCCAACUACUGAAGAUAACGCGGUUGAAUGGAUUAUCCAAAAUAUAUACGACCCUUUGCCUAAUAAUUUUGAUGAUGAUGCAAUACUGAAUGAAAAUGAUAUCUCAUCUGAUGUCCAAAUCACAAUGGAAAAGUUGCAGUCAUCCUACAUUCAGUCUGAGGUAACUGAAAAUGUUGCAGUCAGUGCAUCUGGUACGUCAACAGGAACUGUUGAUCAACUACAACCGGCACCUGCUACUUCAUCGCUGUCAAGUGUGUCUUAUAAGAAAUCACUUACAACUGCAAAAAGAAAGCAAGCAACUUGUAAAGAAAUGGAUACAAUUUUAAAAUUCGGAAAAAUUGAACAUCGUGUUAAAAUGAAAAAUUACAAGAGAACUUUAAAAUAUGGAAACUGAACAUAAUUUGAAAAUAGAAUGACUGAAAUUGAAAAUAGAAAAUGAAAAAAUAAAACAAAAAUAACUGCUGAUAUACCUUAUCAGUUAAUAAAAUUAUCUUCCACAA